rnacentral:rRNA from 1 species
UACGAAGGGGGCGAGCGUUGUUCGGAUUUACUGGGCGUAAAGGGCGCGCAGGCGGCUUUGUUUGUCAGGCGUGAAAGCCCCGGGCUUAACCUGGGAACUGCGUUUGAUACGGCAGGGCUAGAGUUCGGGAGAGGAGAGUGGAAUUCCCAGUGUAGAGGUGAAAUUCGUAGAUAUUGGGAAGAACACCGGUGGCGAAGGCGGGUCUCUGGGCCGUAACUGACGCUGAGGAGCGAAAGCGUGGGGAGCAAACAGG